rnacentral:rRNA from 1 species
GUGGGGAAUCUUGCGCAAUGGGCGAAAGCCUGACGCAGCCAUGCCGCGUGAAUGAUGAAGGUCUUAGGAUUGUAAAAUUCUUUCACCGGGGACGAUAAUGACGGUACCCGGAGAAGAAGCUCCGGCUAACUUCGUGCCAGCAGCCGCGGUAAUACGAAGGGGGCUAGCGUUGCUCGGAAUUACUGGGCGUAAAGGGCGCGUAGGCGGACAGCUUAGUCAGAGGUGAAAGCCCAGGGCUCAACCUUGGAAUUGCCUUUGAUACUGGCUGUCUUGAGUACGGGAGAGGUGAGUGGAACUCCGAGUGUAGAGGUGAAAUUCGUAGAUAUUCGGAAGAACACCAGUGGCGAAGGCGACUCACUGGCCCAAUACUGACGCUGAGGCGCGAAAGCGUGGGGAGCAAACAGGAUUAGAAACCCGGGUAGUCC